rnacentral:misc_RNA from 1 species
AUUUCCACAGAACUCCUCUUUAAAUCUGUCCCAAGCUUGCUUUGCACUUUCACAAGCCAUAAUUCUUGUGAAAAUUAUGUCAGAGACAGCAGCACGUAUGCAAGACAAAGCCUUGAAUCCUUUAGCACACUCCUCAAUAUGUGCUUUCAAUUAAGCAAGAGUGGGAUCUUCCCUUGGGGGAUCUAAUUGCCUACCAAUUUCAGUUACUUCCCCCAGGUCAAAGGCUUUAAGAUAAGCUUUCAUCAUCCUCAUAGGCCAGAUAGAGUAAUCCGCUCAAAACCAUCACUCUCAACUCUAAUUUUUAAGGUUUUUCGGUGCACGAAAUUCUUACUAAUUUUCUCUCCUUUAUAGUCCCCUAAUUAUUAUAAAUAGUUCUGAUACUAUUUGUUGCAUUGCUGGACUGAAAAACAGAGAAGCAAUUUUUUCUUCCAAUAAACUUCUCUUAGCAACUUUGCAUAAGAGAGAUUUCCAUUGAUUUUCAUAUAAAACAAAACUCUUACACUAUUGUUAGUACAUAAUCAGACCUGCUCCAACUUCUAAAGUAACAAAGACAUGGGUGAAGCAUGGUUACAUUUUCUAAUUUAAGGAGUAGAUUUGAACCUAACACAGUUGGUUAGCAUGCCAACUAGUUUACAGCAAAAUAAACAAAAUCACAAGAACUAAGCUCCUAAGUAUCUAGGAAAAAUCUCAAUGCUCUCAACAAACAGCAAGGCACCGUCUCUAUCCCCACCACUACUGUACUAAAAUUUGCCUCAGCUUUGAUCUUGGAAAGGAUGAAGGGAAAGACCACGUUGACUUUGCCUUUCUUGGCUUCUAUUUAUCGUCUUCAUCACAAUUGCUAAUUGAAGAAGAACAAUUUGAUUUUAUUGAGUUUACAUUUGAUUGGAGAAGUGGAUUUUGGAGUUUCAAAAUUAAGGUAGCCAUUAUCCAUUCCACUGUCACAGAUUUCAAUAUUCUUGCAGACUGGGCACACCAAUUUUCCAUUGUAAUUUGACAGGUUCCAACCUUGGUCAAUCCGGUUUGAGCUUCCUGUUUAGCAGGCUGGAGGCUGUGAAAGAAAACUAUAGGAGAAUCGGUGAGGCAUUAGGGAAAAGAAAUGGGAAGGGGAAGAAUCUGCUUAUGCUGCUUCUUGGUGCUUGUACUAGUGAUUAAUAAGUGAUACGUUAAUUAGACUGAAUAUGAAAAUACAGAUAGAGGAGGAAUUGUGCAUGUGGUGUUGCCCUUCCAUUUCUAGUUUGUGAUUACUGAUUUAGUUUGAGUUUCCAUUUCUAGUUGAGUGAUUUUACUGGGUUUGUCGAAAGUGAAUAGGUGAACCGAAGAAGAAUGAACCGAAGAAGAA